AUUGAACGCUGGCGGCAGGCCUAACACAUGCAAGUCGAACGGUAACAGGAAGAAGCUUGCUUCUUUGCUGACGAGUGGCGGACGGGUGAGUAAUGUCUGGGAAACUGCCUGAUGGAGGGGGAUAACUACUGGAAACGGUAGCUAAUACCGCAUAACGUCGCAAGACCAAAGAGGGGGACCUUCGGGCCUCUGGCAAUCGAUGUGGCCAGAUGGGAUUAGCUAGUAGGUGGGGUAACGGCUCACCUAGGCGACGAUCCCUAGCUGGUCUGAGAGGAUGACCAGCCACACUGGAACUGAGACACGGUCCAGACUCCUACGGGAGGCAGCAGUGGGGAAUAUUGCACAAUGGGCGCAAGCCUGAUGCAGCCAUGCCGCGUGUAUGAAGAAGGCCUUCGGGUUGUAAAGUACUUUCAGCGGGGAGGAAGGGAGUAAAGUUAAUACCUUUGCUCAUUGACGUUACCCGCAGAAGAAGCACCGGCUAACUCCGUG
rnacentral:rRNA from 1 species